rnacentral:rRNA from 1 species
AGGACGAACGCUGGCGGCGUGCUUAACACAUGCAAGUCGAGCGGUAAGGCCUUUCGGGGUACACGAGCGGCGAACGGGUGAGUAACACGUGGGUGAUCUGCCCUGCACUCUGGGAUAAGCCUGGGAAACUGGGUCUAAUACCGGAUAUGACCUGCUCUCGCAGUGGGGGGUGGGUGGAAAGAUUUAUCGGUGCAGGAUGGGCCCGCGGCCUAUCAGCUUGUUGGUGGGGUAAUGGCCUACCAAGGCGACGACGGGUAGCCGACCUGAGAGGGUGACCGGCCACACUGGAACCGAGACACGGUCCAGACUCCUACGGAGGCAGCAGUGGGAAUAUGCACAAUGGGCGCAAGCCUGAUGCAGCAACGCCGCGUGAGGACGACGGCCUUCGGGUUGUAAACCUCGUUUAGUAGGAAGAAGGCGUUCGGUCGUGACGGUACCUGUACGAGAAAAGCGACCGACUAACUACGUGCCAGCAGCCGC